AACGAACGCUGGCGGCAGGCUUAACACAUGCAAGUCGAGCGCCCCGCAAGGGGAGCGGCAGACGGGUGAGUAACGCGUGGGAAUCUACCCAUCUCUACGGAAUAACGCAUGGAAACGUGUGCUAAUACCGUAUACGUCCUUCGGGAGAAAGAUUUAUCGGAGAUGGAUGAGCCCGCGUUGGAUUAGCUUGUUGGUGGGGUAAAGGCCUACCAAGGCGACGAUCCAUAGCUGGUCUGAGAGGAUGAUCAGCCACACUGGGACUGAGACACGGCCCAAACGCCUACGGGAGGCAGCAGUGGGGAAUAUUGGACAAUGGGCGCAAGCCUGAUCCAGCCAUGCCGCGUGAGUGAUGAAGGCCUUAGGGUAGUAAAGCUCUUUCGUCCGGGACGAUAAUGACGGUACCGGAAGAAGAAGCCCCGGCUAACUUCUUGCCAGCCGCCGCCGUAACAC
rnacentral:rRNA from 1 species